rnacentral:misc_RNA from 1 species
GGCCAUAAGGCCCCCUGUCGCCUUGAUAACACUGCCUCAAGUAGCUCAUGAAGCUAAUAGAGGGUUUUUUUUUUAACACAUUUAAAUUAUAGCAUUCAAAUACUAUAUUAUUAUUUUUUUUACCGUUUCAUCUAAGAAGAAAAUUCUAAUAGACUUUGAAUUCAAGCACACCCAAGUUUAUCUAAAUUUUAUUUAGGGAUGAAUCAGAAUUAUUCACUUGUAUUUCUACUGAUGAUCAAGUCCAGUUCAAGCAUAAAAAAAUAAAGUACAGUUAUGUUCAAGUUAAGUUUUGGGCUUUUAAGUUUCUAAACUAAGUUUAAAUACUGCAUUUUAUCGAUUCAACUUGGCCCACUUACUGCCCAGGUGUAAAUUAAAACCAGUAGCGAAUGAAAAGAGGUCAACAACGCACCAGAAAAUAUUUUGAAACACA